CACAACGCUAACAAUAAGCUAACACAAGGUUAACGAUAAGCUAACACAAGGUUAACGAUAAGCUAACACAAGGUUAACGAUAAGCUAACACAAGGCCCACAAAACGUCUGGAUUACAACAAACUGCCUCAAAGUUAAUAUCUGUGGAAAUGAACAAACAUGAUCAGUUUGUGAUCCAUUGUUUACCAUGUUAGCAGUGGUGUUAACAGGAGCUAACACAAGUUGUUAACACAAGUUGUUAGCUAACACAAGUUAGCUCCUGCUAGUGGCGCUAACACCAUUGUAGGACCUAACACCAGUGGCAGAAGCUAACGCUAUUAGCCAGCUUUGUUAGCAUUAUUAACACCAAAAGCAGAACUUAAUCCAGUUAGCUAGCUCCAACACCAUUAGCUAAAGCUAGCUUGCUAGCUUUCUCAAGCUAGCAGUUAGCUUUCUCAAGGUAGCUGCAGUUUAAACAGCUGAAAAACUAAAAUUUGAGACUUUAUAUGAUAUUUUGUUCUGUUUCCACUUCAGUCUAAACUUGUGACAUUAAUUGUCUUUAAUUGUGCGCUGCAGAUUCCUCUUCCUCAAACCAGAAACCCUCCAAAUGAAACGAUUCAGAACCAGCCGGGCUGAAACCGUUCAGCUUCAUUUAAGGAGGAAACCUGCAGAUUAAACUCGGGUUUUUUUCCUGAAACAGCUUCUCCACCUUCUCUAGGCCUAGUCAAAGUCCAGAUCUCAGGGAUCAUCGAUGCAGGAGAAUCAGGAGGGUUCUGGUGCUGGACGGGUUCAUCGGAGCAACGCUUCGCUGGAGAGAACCGGACCGAUCUGGACCGGACCGGACCGGACCGAACCGAUCCGGACCGGACCGGAGAGAACUGGUGCCUCUGGUUCGGCUGAUUCUAGAGGAAAUGUUUUCCUGUUUUAACAGAAAUAUUGUCGUUUUGUGAGAAACUUUGUUCUCUCUGGAUUUUAUCAAAAGCUUUUUUAUUAAACUUUCAGUAGAAUCUAAUUUUA